rnacentral:lncRNA from 1 species
AGAGUCAAAAUCUACUACAAAUCUAAGUCCUAAACAUUUAAAUUACAAUUAUUACAAUAGUUUUUAAUAACAAAAAAUAAGUCUUCAAAGGACCUUCAUGAAUCUUUGAUAAAUCUUGACUUGAUUUGGACAUCAUCAAAACUUCACCUUCAUCAUUUUGCUAACAUUCUCUCCCUUUUUUAUGAUGAUCAAAAACUCUUCUGAAUUAAAGCUUUUAGUAAUAAUCUGAGUAAAAACACAACUUAUGGAAGAAAAGAUCAUUAGAGAAUAAUAAUAAGCUUUUAAUAUUUUCUCCCCCUUUUUUAUCAUAAUUAAAAAGUUGUGUUACAUGUCUCCCCCUGAGAUAAUACUCCC